AUGUCCACGAACCCCACCGAUUGGUCAUUCAUGAACACCCCUGCCUCAAGUACUCACCAUCAAGCACAGGCGAUACAUAGCUGGGAGAUCACGCUGGAGAUCACACAUGGUCACCAUGGAGGUCACAUGAGGUCAUCAACAUGUCAACCUCGCUUUCAUCACCUGGAGUCAUAUGGAAUGUUCAUAUGUGAACCGUCCACCCAAUUAGCUACAAUGGUUCCUACAGCCAGUACCAUGAUAGCAUUGGAGCCAGGGGAGCAUGUGGGAACUUCAAAUGAAAAUCCUACAACACCUCAAGGAACACCGAGUGGUGCUGAAGAUAUUGCUUCCAAUGCAAGGCGAGAUAGCCUAACACCCGAGCAAAGAGAAGAAAUGAAUGCGCGUCGAAGAGCAUCUAGACAAAAUAGAACUAUUGAAGAUAGGAAUUCGAGCCAAAGCGCUGCCAGACAAAAUCUGACAACAAAGGAGAGGCAAGAGAUGAACGCCCGUAGAAGGGCAGCGAGUAAAAAUAUACCAGUUGAGCAGAGGCAAGAGAUGGACGCCCGUCGAAGAGCACGCAGGCAGAGCAUACCACUAGAUGAGAGGAAGGCAUUGCGGGCUCAGCGAAACGCAGACCUCGCAGCUAAGCGGAAGACCCCAUACGCUGAAUGCAUUGCAAUGCCUUGCCCAUAUGCAUAUCUCUAA
rnacentral:rRNA from 1 species